rnacentral:rRNA from 1 species
GCAGUCGACGGUAACAGGAAGCAGCUUGCUGCUUCGCUGACGAGUGGCGGACGGGUGAGUAAUGUCUGGGAAACUGCCUGAUGGAGGGGGAUAACUACUGGAAACGGUAGCUAAUACCGCAUAACGUCGCAAGACCAAAGAGGGGGACCUUCGGGCCUCUUGCCAUCGGAUGUGCCCAGAUGGGAUUAGCUAGUAGGUGGGGUAACGGCUCACCUAGGCGACGAUCCCUAGCUGGUCUGAGAGGAUGACCAGCCACACUGGAACUGAGACACGGUCCAGACUCCUACGGGAGGCAGCAGUGGGGAAUAUUGCACAAUGGGCGCAAGCCUGAUGCAGCCAUGCCGCGUGUAUGAAGAAGGCCUUCGGGUUGUAAAGUANCUUUCAGCGGGGAGGAAGGGAGUAAAGUUAAUACCUUUGCUCAUUGACGUUACCCGCAGAAGAAGCACCGGCUAACUCCGUGCCAGCAGCCGCGGUAAUACGGAGGGUGCAAGCGUUAAUCGGAAUUACUGGGCGUAAAGCGCACGCAGGCGGUUUGUUAAGUCAGAUGUGAAAUCCCCGGGCUCAACCUGGGAACUGCAUCUGAUACUGGCAAGCUUGAGUCUCGUAGAGGGGGGUAGAAUUCCAGGUGUAGCGGUGAAAUGCGUAGAGAUCUGG